rnacentral:tRNA from 1 species
GCCCGGCUAGCUCAGUCGGUAGAGCAUCAGACUUUUAAUCUGAGGGUCAAGGGCUCAAGUCCCUUAUUGGGCG